UACGUAGGGGGCAAGCGUUGUCCGGAAUCAUUGGGCGUAAAGAGCGCGUAGGCGGCCCUGUAAGUCCGCUGUGAAAGUCAAGGGCUCAACCCUUGAAUGCCGGUGGAUACUGCAGGGCUAGAGUCCGGAAGAGGCGAGUGGAAUUCCUGGUGUAGCGGUGAAAUGCGCAGAUAUCAGGAGGAGCACCGAUGGCGAAGGCAGCUCGCUGGGACGGUACUGACGCUGAGGCGCGAAAGCGUGGGGAGCAAACAGG
rnacentral:rRNA from 1 species